UACGCAGGUGGCGAGCGUUGUUCGGAUUUACUGGGCGUAAAGAGCACGUAGGCGGUUGGGUAAGCCUCUUGGGAAAGAUCCCGGCUUAAGCGGGAAAGGUCGAGGGGAACUACUCAGCUAGAGGACGGGAGAGGAGCGCGGAAUUCCCGGUGUAGCGGUGAAAUGCGUAGAUAUCGGGAAGAAGGCCGGUGGCGAAGGCGGCGCUCUGGAACGUACCUGACGCUGAGGUGCGAAAGCGUGGGGAGCAAACAGG
rnacentral:rRNA from 1 species